GCCUGAGUUAUUCUAAAUAUUGUCGAAUAUCGUUGCAUCCGUAAAAGCUAGUUCGUAAAACAUUGGGAAGUGUAAAACGACCUCUUUUAUUCGUUGUUAUUAUAUAGCAACACGCGGGAUCGUCGAGACCGUCAGGGGGACAGCUUGAUUAAAUCCACAACAAGUAAAACUUCAAUACGCUCUCUCCUCCGCAGAGGCUUACAUGAAGUUUCUAGUGAGGGAAAAGUGAGCGCGCAAGGUGUGAUGGGAAGAGCUAAAUAGAGGAAGCCUCUGCGAGUUAAUGCAAUCAAUAUGGCGUAUAUAAUCGUUUGUAGCGAAGUUCGAUCAACCAUCGGG